rnacentral:rRNA from 1 species
CCUACGGGAGGCUGCAGUGGGGAAUAUUGGACAAUGGGGGCAACCCUGAUCCAGCCAUGCCGCGUGUGUGAAGAAGGCCCUCGGGUUGUAAAGCACUUUCAGUGAGGAAGAACGCCUGGUGGUUAAUACCCAUCAGGAAAGACAUCACUCACAGAAGAAGCACCGGCUAACUCCGUGCCAGCAGCCGUGGUAAUACGGAGGGUGCGAGCGUUAAUCGGAAUUACUGGGCGUAAAGCGCGCGUAGGUGGCUUGAUAAGCCGGUUGUGAAAGCCCCGGGCUCAACCUGGGAACGGCAUCCGGAACUGUCAAGCUAGAGUGCAGGAGAGGAAGGUAGAAUUCCCGGUGUAGCGGUGAAAUGCGUAGAGAUCGGGAGGAAUACCAGUGGCGAAGGCGGCCUUCUGGACUGACACUGACACUGAGGUGCGAAAGCGUGGGUAGCAAACAGGAUUAGAUACCCCAGUAGUC